UACGAAGGGUGCAAGCGUUAAUCGGAAUUACUGGGCGUAAAGUGUGCGCAGGCGGCCGAGCAAGUCGAGUGUGAAAGCCCCGAGCUUAACUUGGGAACUGCGCUCGAAACUACUUGGCUAGAGUGUGGCAGAGGGAGGUGGAAUUCCACGUGUAGCGGUGAAAUGCGUAGAGAUGUGGAGGAACACCGAUGGCGAAGGCAGCCUCCUGGGCCAACACUGACGCUCAUGCACGAAAGCGUGGGGAGCAAACAGG
rnacentral:rRNA from 1 species